rnacentral:rRNA from 1 species
UACGUAGGGUGCAAGCGUUGUCCGGAAUUAUUGGGCGUAAAGAGCUCGUAGGUGGCCUGUCGCGUCGGCUGUGAAAACUCGGGGCUCAACUCCGAGCUUGCAGUCGAUACGGGCAGGCUAGAGUUCGGCAGGGGGAGACUGGAAUUCCUGGUGUAGCGGUAAAAUGCGCAGAUAUCAGGAGGAACACCGGUGGCGAAGGCGGGUCUCUGGGGCCGAUACUGACACUGAGGAGCGAAAGCGUGGGGAGCGAACAGG